rnacentral:rRNA from 1 species
GACCCCAGGUCAGGCGGGACUAUCCGGCUGAGUUUAA